CCUACGGGAGGCUGCAGUGGGGAAUAUUGGACAAUGGGGGCAACCCUGAUCCAGCCAUGCCGCGUGUGUGAAGAAGGCCCUCGGGUUGUAAAGCACUUUCAGUGAGGAAGAACGCCUGGUGGUUAAUACCCAUCAGGAAAGACAUCACUCACAGAAGAAGCACCGGCUAACUCCGUGCCAGCAGCCGCGGUAAUACGGAGGGUGCGAGCGUUAAUCGGAAUUACUGGGCGUAAAGCGCGCGUAGGUGGCUUGAUAAGCCGGUUGUGAAAGCCCCGGGCUCAACCUGGGAACGGCAUCCGGAACUGUCAAGCUAGAGUGCAGGAGAGGAAGGUAGAAUUCCCGGUGUAGUGGUGAAAUGCGUAGAGAUCGGGAGGAAUACCAGUGGCGAAGGCGGCCUUCUGGACUGACACUGACACUGAGGUGCGAAAGCGUGGGUAGCAAACAGGAUUAGAUACCCGAGUAGUC
rnacentral:rRNA from 1 species